ensembl:lncRNA
ACAACUUUGAAAAACUUUAGAAGUCUAAGGCAGAUAAACAGUGUAAAAUAAUUUAGAUGAAAGAGUCACUCAUCUCCUUCCAAAGAGGUGAUCUUAAAAUGCAUUGAGACAUGAUCAAUGUGGUAAUGUUUUUUUUUAAUAGGACGAUGCAACUGUGUUUUAAGGACUUUAUUUUAGGGAAUUAAAAAAAAACACUUGCUCAAUGUUGGGGUUGUGGGAGAGGCAGAAUAAAAGAAAAAUGUAAAAGAUGAUUCUGGGAGGGGGAGAGGGAGCUAUGUGGGAAAUUUGGAUACAUAAUAUCUGGCACGUAGUAGCACUUACAUGUUUAUUAUUAUGGAUGGAUAUAAAAACAAAAUAUCGAAAAAAAAAUUAAAUUGUCACUUCACAACUGAUUAUCCAUUCUCCAAUGUCUCAAAUUUAGAUACUUAUAUGUUUCAAAGAGUUAAAGAGUAUCUAAAUGAUAGAUUACCUUCUUAAUCUUUAGACAAAUGUUUUAAAUGGAAUCUUUCUACCUAAAGUUUGGAAGCAGAAGGAAGGAAGCGCGCAUUUAUUAGCCACCAGCCGUCUUCGCUCACUGUGAGCGCCUGGCGAAUAUAAUCUCAUUUGAUCAAAUUGAGGUAGAUACUCUUCUCUCCGGGGACAGACGGAGCUCAGAUUUGCGGAGAAUCUCUCGGCCCCUUUCGAACUCACUCCACUGGCCAGAGAGCUGCGUCCGCCAUUCCACUCGAAAGCCUCAGAAGGGGUGAGCAAGGUUAAGAGAAGAGGGACGGGAAAGAAAAGCGAAAGCUUCGCGUCGGGCGAAGAGGCUUUGCAAGGAAGCGUCGGUGUCCUUAGGUGGAGCGCUUCCCGCCCUCAGGGAGCUUCCAUUCUAACUGGGGGUAAGGCUCGGAAUACGACAGGGCCCCGGACACAGAGGGUUCCUCGGACAAUGGGGUUCUGGAAGGCGUCACCCACGAGGCAGAGGUAAGGAGUACAGGGUCGGGGGCGACCCCCUGGCCAUUGUUCAGCCGCACAAUUGAUGGACGUUGAGCGUUCUCCAUCCGCAGCCACCGAACUUCCAGAGGAUUGGGAGACUAGCUAGCGUCGGGAAGGAGAGCCCCACUUCCGCGCCUCCGCCUUCUCUCCUGCCUCUUCGGCCCGCCUCCCUCUCUCCCCCCCCCGCUGCGUCACCCCCUUCUUGGUCCUUAGUAACAGAAUAAACACCGAGCAGGCUCCGCCCCUCGGGAGGAAGGUGGCGAAAUGGACGUUGGCGUGCUCGCGCGCGAGUGACUUUGACCGAAGCUGCAGUUACUGGGAGCAGUCUACGAUGGUGAGUCGACCCUCCCUUGCGAGGAUCCUCGACUUUCCGGAACGACUCAUCCCAGGGGAGAAUUGCAGUUGGAGCAGAUCGGUUUCCGUUGCAGCGCUGGACGUUUCUCCUCCUUGCAGCCUCUGCUCGGACCCGUGCGGCGCUGGAGAAGGCUCUUUGGGGAGCGGGAGUAUUUUUCCCGCCUCUCACCUGCCGUGCUCCUUCAUCGCCACUCUCCUUUGUCCCGGGACUGAAGCCGCUUGGUCCCGUUUCUUCCUGCUCUUUCGUUUGCCAGAAGGUGGUGAUGUCCCACUUUACAAGUGCGAGCAAGAGCAGAAAGCAACCGUGGUUGUCCUAGAUCACCGUGGGGAGGCACCCAGUCCCUUCUGGGCGCCUCGUUUUGGUGGCCGAGCUGGGGGGGUCAUAGAUUUAGAAAUGAGAGCGGGGCUUGGCUCUUCUUCCUAACCACCGAAGGUUUUGUUUUAUUCUUCCCCCCUCUCCCCUCGGUGAGGAGGAAACGGGGAUUCAGGCAGGCAGUGAUGUACAAACUUGGUCUGUAACCACAUUUUACCAUCUCUGUAUUUCAGGAUUGUGAACUGACCCUGUGAUCACAAGUCAACGGAAAGCAAGGCUUUAUCAUGCCAGGUAAAGGCAAAAAGGUAAAAGGCCGGGGACAGAGCCGGGGUGGGAAGAAAGGAAAAAAGCCUGAAGUGGACAUCCUUCACCCAGCUACCAUGCUGAACCUGUAUUACAUCGCCCACAAUGUUGCUGACUGCCUACAAUUCCGUGGUUUCCGCUGGCCAGGGGCUGGCAAGAAAAAGAAAGGAAAGAAGAUAUAACAGUGGAUGGAUGGAUGGAUGCCUUUAUAGCAUAUCUUCAUAACCAUGAAUUGUAACUAUUAACAGAAAUGUACAGUGAAGGGAUACAACCAAAACAGCCACUGAAGCAGAUUAAACUUUAAUGAAAACACCUUGAACUGGAGAAUGACUAGAGCUCUUGGAGUUAAGGAUAAAGGAAUGGAAUUAUCACUUAACGCUUGUGCCCAAGGGAAACAUUAAAUUUCUUUUUUUUUUUCUUUUUUUUUUUUUUUUUUUUAGGAACUUAAGGCAAAAAUGUGUCUAAGUAGUUAUCAAACUGGGUGGUUGAUUUCAGAAUACUGUUUGGUUCUAAUCAUUCUUUGUUACAUGUCAGAAUUAAAUUUUGCUUGGUGAAUCUAGUUCUCUUGCACUCAUUUUCUGCUGAUAACAGUAAAUGUGAACCUCCUCAUCCCUGAAGAGAGAGGCAGGUGAUUAUCCAUAUGAAGUUGCGGCAUGCUGUGCCAUAAUAAUGUCCAUCUCUGCCUGCCCACCACCACCAUUUUGAGGGGGAAAUAAUUAAGAAAACUAUUUUGUCCGUUUAGUGUGCUCCUCCCCUCCCCCUGACUGUUUUCCUGAUUUGAAAUAACUACAACUGCCUGCAGAGACUCCUCUGAGGCUUUAAUAACAUCAGCAAAAUGUGCUUUGUGCUAGCCAGAGCAUAUAAAAGGAUAAAAACUGCAAGGCACUUGUCAGUCAUUUGAGUGAAUAAAGAAAUGAGCCGGCAUGGAGAUAGUGGAAAGAGCUCAGUAUUUGGUUCCAGAAGACCUGGCUUUGACUCCUGACUGCCACUUAUUGCCCAGGGGAUUCUGUACAAGCCAUUUCGCCUCUCUGGACCUCAGUUUCCACAUUUGUACAAUGUAGAGGUUGGACUAGAUCAGAAGUGUCAAACUCAAUUAGUUAAAAUGUAAUUGGGAAAUGUUUACCAAAAAAAAAAAAAAAAUACAAACAUGUUAAUUUGUGAUUUUCUAAGCCAUGAUGGGACUUACUGGAUUCUGUUUCUAUUUGAGUUUGACACAGCUGGACUAGAUGAUCUCUAUUAUACUAGAUAUAGCUUGUUUGUAUAUAUUAGUUUGCUGCUUGUCUCUUUAGAUUGUGAGCUCUCUGAGGGCAGGGACUCUCUUUUUUGCCUUUCUUUGUAUCCACAAUGUUUAGUACAAUGCCUAGCACAGAGGAGGCAAUUAAUAAA